rnacentral:misc_RNA from 1 species
AACCAUAGAAACCUGCGGAGUACCUGCGGAGGGAUCAUUAUAGUAUAUGGAAUCUCCAUUCUAUAAACCCACUCUGCGUAUCUUGUAACUGUUGCUUCCAUGGGACCUGGUUCCGCCACACCGGCUUCACGGCUGGUGAGCGCCCAUGGAAGGAGAAACAAAACUCUUCUUUGAAAUGUAGUCAGUCUGAACAAGUUUUUAUAAACGUUAAAACUUUUAACAAUGGAUCUCAGAUCGGAA